rnacentral:rRNA from 1 species
UACCAGCACCCCGAGUGGUCGGGACGUUUAUUGGGCCUAAAGCAUCCGUAGCCGGUUCUGCAAGUCUUCCGUUAAAUCCACCUGCUUAACAGAUGGGCCGCGGAAGAUACUAUAGAGCUAGGAGGCGGGGGAGGCAAGCGGUACUCGAUGGGUAGGGGUAAAAUCCGUUGAUCCAUUGAAGACCACCAGUGGCGAAGGCGGCUUGCCAGAACGCGCUCGACGGUGAGGGAUGAAAGCUGGGGGAGCAAACCGG